GGGCGGGUUUGGUGGUCGUGCCAAUGGUAUGCACUGCCGGCCUGUCCUUUCCUUUUGGGGAACGGGUGUGCUCUUUACUGAGUGUGCUCGGGAUCCAAGACUUUUACUUUGAAAAAAUUAGAGUGUUUAAAGCGGGCAUUUGCUUGAAUACAUUAGCAUGGAAUAAUAGAAUAGGACUUUGGUUCUAUUUUGUUGGUUUCUAGGACCGAAGUA
rnacentral:rRNA from 1 species